rnacentral:lncRNA from 1 species
AACAUCAAAGAAAUAAUUAUUUUUUGAAGAAUUGAAAACAAAAUGACACAACUCAAAAUCAAUGAAAAAUGCACUGUUCCCUUAUCUUCCUUUCUGAUUUUCAGACCUUCUUGCUCCCUCAAUCUCCCCCUGCACCUAUAUAUACCGGUCUGAUGGAGAAGCACUGUCUUUUCUGUCCAUUCCAUCUAUUCACCAAUCUCAUUCUAAAAUCCUCCUACAUCUACU